ACUCCUACGGGAGGCAGCAGUGGGGAAUAUUGCACAAUGGGCGCAAGCCUGAUGCAGCAACGCCGUGUGAGUGAAGAAGGUUUUCGGAUCGUAAAACUCUGUCCUAAGGGAAGAAACAAAUGACGGUACCUUAGGAGGAAGCCCCGGCUAACUACGUGCCAGCAGCCGCGGUAAUACGUAGGGGGCAAGCGUUAUCCGGAAUCACUGGGGCGUAAAGGGUGCGUAGGCGGCUUAGCAAGCCAGGGGUGAAAGGCAUUGGCUCAACCAAUGUAAGCCUUUGGAACUGUUAGGCUUGAGUGCAGGAGAGGUAAGUGGAAUUCCUAGUGUAGAGGUGAAAUUCGUAGAUAUUAGGAGGAACACCAGUGGCGAAGGCGACUUACUGGACUGUAACUGACGCUGAUGCACGAAAGCGUGGGUAGCGAACAGGAUUAGAUACCCUGGUGGCACAGAG
rnacentral:rRNA from 1 species